GACGAACCGUGCGAGCGUUGUUCGGAAUCACUGGGCUUAAAGGGCGCGUAGGCGGCCCGCCGCGUCCGGGGUGAAAUCCUCCCGCUCAACGGGAGAACGGCCUCGGAUACGGGCGGGCUGGAGGCGGGUAGGGGCAGGCGGAACUGUGGGUGGAGCGGUGAAAUGCGUUGAUAUCCACAGGAACUCCGGUGGCGAAGGCGGCCUGCUGGACCCGAUCUGACGCUGAGGCGCGAAAGCCAGGGGAGCGAACGGG
rnacentral:rRNA from 1 species